rnacentral:rRNA from 1 species
GGGAUCUUCGGACCUUGCGCUAAUAGAUGAGCCUAAGUCGGAUUAGCUAGUUGGUGGGGUAAAGGCCUACCAAGGCGACGAUCUGUAGCGGGUCUGAGAGGAUGAUCCGCCACACUGGGACUGAGACACGGCCCAGACUCCUACGGGAGGCAGCAGUGGGGAAUAUUGGACAAUGGGGGGAACCCUGAUCCAGCCAUGCCGCGUGUGUGAAGAAGGCCUUAUGGUUGUAAAGCACUUUAAGCGAGGAGGAGGCUACUUUAGUUAAUACCUAGAGAUAGUGGACGUUACUCGCAGAAUAAGCACCGGCUAACUCUGUGCCAGCAGCCGCGGUAAUACAGAGGGUGCAAGCGUUAAUCGGAUUUACUGGGCGUAAAGCGCGCGUAGGCGGCUAAUUAAGUCAAAUGUGAAAUCCCCGAGCUUAACUUGGGAAUUGCAUUCGAUACUGGUUAGCUAGAGUGUGGGAGAGGAUGGUAGAAUUCCAGGUGUAGCGGUGAAAUGCGUAGAGAUCUGGAGGAAUACCGAUGGCGAAGGCAGCCAUCUGGCCUAACACUGACGCUGAGGUGCGAAAGCAUGGGGAGCAAACAGGAUUAGAUACCCUGGUAGUCCAUGCCGUAAACGAUGUCUACUAGCCGUUGGGGCCUUUGAGGCUUUAGUGGCGCAGCUAACGCGAUAAGUAGACCGCCUGGGGAGUACGGUCGCAAGACUAAAACUCAAAUGAAUUGACGGGGGCCCGCACAAGCGGUGGAGCAUGUGGUUUAAUUCGAUGCAACGCGAAGAACCUUACCUGGCCUUGACAUAGUAAGAACUUUCCAGAGAUGGAUUGGUGCCUUCGGGAACUUACAUACAGGUGCUGCAUGGCUGUCGUCAGCUCGUGUCGUGAGAUGUUGGGUUAAGUCCCGCAACGAGCGCAACCCUUUUCCUUAUUUGCCAGCGAGUAAUGUCGGGAACUUUAAGGAUACUGCCAGUGACAAACUGGAGGAAGGCGGGGACGACGUCAAGUCAUCAUGGCCCUUACGGCCAGGGCUACACACGUGGUACAAUGGUCGGUACAAAGGGUUGCUACACAGCGAUGUGAUGCUAAUCUCAAAAAGCCGAUCGUAGUCCGGAUUGGAGUCUGCAACUCGCCUCCAUGAAGUCGGAAUCGCUAGUAAUCGCGGAUCAGAAUGCCGCGGUGAAUACGUUCCCGGGCCUUGUACACACCGCCCGUCACACCAUGGGAGUUUG